GUCAGAUUUUAGUUUUAGCAUACCUAACCAAACACAUUGAAAUUGAUUAGCACAUCGAUGAAGAUAAAGCUCAAGCCAAAUUAAUCUACCAGCCUGAAAGAGCCUGAAACAUCACACUGAAUCCUGAAUAUGUUAAAGGACGUGAGAAGAUAUAGCGGACAAGAGCUUGAAGAGGCAUGCGAAGACUUCAGUAACAUAAUUGGGUCCUCAUCCAAUUAGAUGGAUAAGGUUUUGCUUUCCUUUGAGUUCUUACAAGCUAUGCUGCCAAAACCGUCCAAGAAAAAAAAUAUAUCUACUCAACAUGAAGUCACUCAACCUUUGAAUCUUGAUUUGUACUUUUUUUUCUUUGACUUGUUGACAAAUGAUUAGUAAUAGCUUGGUUUUUUUAAUCAAUUUUUUAGUAAUGUGACUAUGUA